UCGGUCUUAUGUAGAAAUUAUUCAUUUAGACACGGUUAUACGGAUUAAGAUUUACCAUAUGAAUCAGUUUCCCAAAUUUAUAAUCUGGAUAAAAUGGAGCUACGGUACAGAGUUUUUUGUUUAGUUCACAAGUUUGUUUAUUAUUGAAUCGAAAUGAUUUCGGCCUAAUGUACUUAUCGUGUGGACUUGUAGGGGUAUAAAUUUAUAUAUGAACCUACCCACGUUGUUUGACAAUAGUACAGAGUAGGCUGCAUAUAUGUACUUAUUGUGUGGGAGUUUUUGGGUACAAAUUUAUCUGUGCCUACCCACGUUGUUUGACAAUAGUACAGAGUAGGCCGCAUAUAUGUACUUAUUGUGUGGGAGUUUUUGGUACAAAGUUUAUCUGUGCCUACCCACGGUGUUUGACAAUAGAACAGAGUAGGCCGCAUACAUGUACUUAUUGUGUGGGAGUUUUUGGUACAAAGUUUAAAUGUGCCUACCCACGGUGUUUAGCAAUAGUACAGAGUAGGCCGCAUAUAUGUUCUUAUUGUGUGGGAGUCUAGGGUUCAUUAUUUAUUUGUACCUAUCCACGUGUAUAAGAUAAGUACAAGGCUAAGGGUUUCUUUGUACCAGUAACAGUUUAUGUCGUGUUAGAUUUUUUGAUUUGGAGAUUUUUUAAGUUAACACGACAUGGACUGUGGUCGAAGAAAUGAAACUUACCAAGAUCAAUGGCUUAAAUUCGUUAUGCAUUGGCAUACCUAUGUUAAAGGAGUUUGUUCCUAGUAUACUUGUAGAUUUUACAUAUAUGCCAAUAAGAGGCAGUUAUGUAUUUGUUUGCACAUUAUGACAUUUGCGUCUAAUGUAGCAGGAUUUCAUUUAGUUUAGAGUUACCCGUACGCUUGAUCUUCAUGUUUUGUGCGGAGUUUAUAUGUAUGCAUAUGGGUCGAAGUUAUCCAUAUUUUCACUGUUUUGUUUUAAAGUAUAUAUGCCCUAUUACAUCUAAACAUAAUGGCAACUUCAUUUCAUGUUGAUUGCAGUCAAUUUCAAGUAAGAGUAUCACAAUAGUUCUUAGUUGUUACAAAGUACGUGUUACAAAUAGUGGUAUCUCCUAUACAUGUGACAUUUUUAUCUUUUGUUAUGGAGUUAAUAGAUUUAUUCUUUAAUAUUUCGUUUGAUGAAAUUGGUAGAAUCCCGGAACAUGUAGAAUUUCGUCAAAGCGAAUCCUCUCAGCAGGGAAUUAAUCGAUUAUUAUCAGUAUGAUUGUAAUACAAUAUAUACUGCUAUCAAGGUUAGUCUACAGGAAAAAGUUUACUCUUUCUGUUCAAGGUUGUUACAUUUAGUUUUUCUAUGAGCAUGAUAAUGUACAUGAUGUAUCACUUUGUUUACAACUCAGUUAUUGGUUUUUGGCGUCCUUUCUUUAAAUGACACCUUAGACUUAAAAAGUAUUCAUAUAAUUUUCAUGUUUAAGUUGCAGAUGCCUUUUGAUGAAUUUGCCAGUGUGCAUAUUUGCUACAUCCUAGCAGCCCGAGUUUAGAGGAAGCGUAGCUAUAACUGCUAAUAGCCCAGAGAGCCCAGCAGAAUUGUGCCGGAUGCCAUGAAUCUAAUGUUAUUGAUACGGGUUUGAACUGUUUAACAAAUACUGACUUAGCGAGCUGUUUUAUCUAACAAAUUGCAUAAGAUCCGCGCCACCGGUGGAUAAUGUCUUAAACCAGCCCGUCCACUAGUGUUAUUCCAGAUACAAUUUGACUUUACCAACAACUUUCAUGCGAUCAGCCGGUAUAAGAUUCAUAUGUUUGCUAGCUAAACUGCUGCAGUGCUGCUACAGGUGUGCCCCAAAUCAGCCGUGUAACCAGGAUAUCCACUACCGUUGGUUCACAAAGCAUUCAUACCAGCUAGAUCAUUCAAUUUGGUUUCAAAUAAAACAUUUACAGGCGAGUCAGCAAGUAAAUAAUAUAGGAAGAUCCCCCCUCCAUAAAAAUUCAAAUAAGUUCCCUAUAUAGCUGGUAAAUAUAGGUUUAAUUUAUUUUUAUAAAUUAGUACAGACCUCAUGCACGGUCAGUAAAUUAAAUGAAAGGUUUUUCAAUUUGCGUCCCUUUUCGGAAAUUAAGCAUUGCCAGGCUAGAAUACAAUAAUAAUAAUAAUAAUGAUAAAAUUAUUUUAAAAAGUUUCUAAUAGACAGCAUAAUGUUAGACAUUGUUUGGAGUUACUAGCUCAUGUUGUACAUUGUACGUUUCUGUGGUCUUUAUCUUUAAAUAUUAAUUUGCUUUAAUUAACCCCAUGUAAAAUUUUCUCCAACAUAUUUUUAUAUGAAAAUUCUAUUAAUUUUCGGUCUUGUUUGACAUCUGUAGUUGAAAGAUAAUCGUUUUCUUUUGAUAUUUAGGAAAGGCAUUUUUGCACAUAGUGGCAGUAUUUCAUUCUUGACAUCUCUUUCCUGUCUGACGAUAGCAAUGUUAUUAACUCAAUCUUGUUAUCAAAUUUAUGGUUACAUCCUAGGAUUGCGUUCUUUGAAUUUGCUAUGCUUCGCUCUACCUAAUUUCAGUGUGGUAAAUUAAUGUCUUACAGAUUCCCUAUGUUCAUGACAUUUUCUAUCCUUAAUUUUAAUUGGCCGGUCAGUAUGAAAGUAGGCAGAGUUGUCAAGAACAGAUUUGUGAGUUUGUAAGGAAGGCAAUCUAGGAACAUUCUUGUGUUAUUCAGUUUUGUAGUCUAUCUACGAAAUUUGUUCCAAAUCAUAUUUGUGAAAUUUAGAUUUUUGGACUUACAAUAAAUUCUAAACUUUAGAACCGACUUUUCAAUUGACACAAUAUUACAUGGUGAACUUAGUAUAAUCUUCUUCAAUCAUGUAUUUUUCAUAAUUCUCUCAAUAUCAAUUUAUCUUACAUGUUUUGUGGAACUUAAGUAUGUACAGUAAUUUUAUUGUACCUUGAUCUCAAAAGGAGAGAACUAAUACAGGCCCUUGGCCUGCUGUUCAAUCCAUAUUCAUAUUGUACACUUUGUAUAUUAUGAAUAAAAUACUUCUUAUACUAAAAGCAUUCUCACUCAUCACUAGGUUGAAUUUGUCAAAAUUUAAGUUUGUUGACAUAAUAGAUCUCAACCAUUAAUCCUGAUAAUAAUUGAAACUACUAAAUUAACAAAGUGCUACACACCAUUUAGAUAAUUCAUUAAGAUAUGUUUCACAUUGUCAUUGUCAGGGACAGAUCUGGAAAUAUGCAUGCUCUCGAUAGAUACAUGUAGCCCCCGGCCGCUAGCAUAAUAUAAUAAUUUUUCAAAGCAGGGAAAUCUGUAAGUCUGGAUCUUUUGCAAAUGUGUAUAUGGUAAGCUACUCAUGAGACACAGACAAACUGUUCAGAAAUCUCUAUUAGGAUUUUGAAGGACAACAGUUCAAAUGCAUGGCAUAUAUAUAUUUGCUUAAAAUCACUUAAACUUAAUAAGUUCACAUAAUCUGUAACAUACAAGAGUGAAGACCAAAUAUUGGUCAAUGGUAAUUAUUGUUUUGUUCUUCUUAAAAAAAAAAAUAAAUAAAUACAUAUGUAAAUAAAUAAAUAAAUAAUAAUAAAAAAAAAAAAAUAAUAAUAUUAAUAAAUAUCUAGCAUUUAAUGGCUUUUUUUGUUCUACUCCCAUUAGUCCGAUUCUAGAAUGUAGUUUAAUUGCGAGUCAGUGUUUAACUGCAAUUCUGUUCUAUUCAUGAUAAAUAGUUAGAUACUAGGAUGUAUUUAAAUACAGGUCAGUGAUUUAACUGCUGUUUUGUUCUACGCGUGAAAAUUAGUUGGACAUUAGGAUGUAAUUUAAAUGCAGGUCAGUGAUUUAACUGCUGUUUUGUUAUACUCGCGAUAAAUAUUUUGAUACUCACUAAAGAUGUAAUGUAAAUACAGGUCAGUUAUUUAACUGCUGUUUUGUUCUACUCUUACAAUUGAAAAUACCUUAAGGAACAUGUUCAUUCCCACAUUGACAGGUCGGUGAAUAACUGCUGUUGGAUAUCUAAAUACUCCUCAUCUGACUUCGUUACUUGCUGGCUCAAUAAACAAUACUUUUCGAUUUGUCAUUUAAUUACUCUGAAAUUAGUUUUCUUCCAUACUUACAUGUAUUACUCAAUAUCGUUAUUUACUAACAUUGCUCGGAUAUUAUGUUAAUACAGGUAUUUCCUUCAUUAUAUGACAUGUAACUACAUUUUCGUGAUAACUGGUAACGGAAUAAUUAAUGAAAGGUAGAUUUUUAUUUUUCAUUUCAUUACUUUAAGUUGAAAUGUGUGGAGAGGCCAGUGAUUAACUGCCUUCAUAUAGAUUUGAUGUGUGCAAGCUCACCUUGGAUGGCACGGAUGUGAUUUACAUGUCACAUUUUACAUGGAUGUGACCUGCAUAUCACAUCUUGUGGCCUAUUUUGUUUUGAUGUGCCAUCUAUUUGCUAACUUUUUAAUAUGAUGUUUUGAUUGUCUUGUCUUACAGAUACUUUUUUCUAGUCAUUUUUGGGGGAUCAGACAUUAUCAUAUUUUACGUAACUGAUAAGCAAAGCUUGUGAAUCUGAUCCCCCUUCUUGUUUGUUAAAUUGUUCACAUUUAUAUCGUCAUUUUAAUAAAUGACAUUAUUCAUCAACAUGAAA